GUGCAGCAGGGCGAGAAAACUUCACACUGUGCGAAAGCACGAUGAGGGAAUCCCAAGUGCUUGCACGUAAGUGUAAGCUGUUUCUCUGUCUAAAACGCAGAGAGAGUAAGGGCUGGGUAAGACGGGUGCCAGCCGCCGCGGUAAUACCUGCAGCUCAAGUGGUGACCGUUAUUAUUGGGCCUAAAACGUCCGUAGCCGGUUUAAUAAAUGCCUGGGUAAAUUGUGUAGCUUAACUAUACGAAUUCCGGGUAGACUGUUAAACUUGAGACCGGGAGAAGUUAGAGGUACUCCUGGGGUAGAGGUGAAAUUCUGUAAUCCUAGGGGGACCGCCAGUGGCGAAGGCGUCUAACUAGAACGGGUCUGACGGUGAGGGACGAAGCCCUGGGGCGCAAAC
rnacentral:rRNA from 1 species